UACGGAGGGCGCAAGCGUUGUUCGGAAUUACUGGGCGUAAAGCGCGUGUAGGCGGCUAAGCAAGUCGGUUGUGAAAGCCCAGGGCCCAACCCUGGAAUUGCGUCCGAAACUGCUUGGCUAGAGUCCUGGAGAGGAAGGCAGAAUUCCCAGUGUAGGGGUGAAAUCCGUAGAUACUGGGAGGAAUACCCGUAGCGAAGGCGGCCUUCUGGACAGUGACUGACGCUCAGACGCGAAAGCGUGGGGAGCAAACAGG
rnacentral:rRNA from 1 species